GAUGAGCGCUGACAGAAUGCUUAACACAUGCAAGUCAACUUGAAUUUGGGUUUUUAACUUAGAUUUGGGUGGCGGACGGGUGAGUAACGCGUAAAGAACUUGCCUCACAGCUAGGGACAACAUUUAGAGAUGAAUGCUAAUACCUGAUAUUAUGAUUUUAAGGCAUCUUAGAAUUAUGAAAGCUAUAAGCACUGUGAGAGAGCUUUGCGUCCCAUUAGCUAGUUGGAGAGGUAACAGCUCACCAAGGCGAUGAUGGGUAGCCGGCCUGAGAGGGUGAACGGCCACAAGGGGACUGAGACACGGCCCUUACUCCUACGGGAGGCAGCAGUGGGGAAUAUUGGACAAUGGACCGAGAGUCUGAUCCAGCAAUUCUGUGUGCACGAUGAAGUUUUUCGGAAUGUAAAGUGCUUUCAGUUGGGAAGAAAGAAAUGACGGUACCAACAGAAGAAGUGACGGCUAAAUACGUGCCAGCAGCCGCGGUAAUACGUAUGUCACGAGCGUUAUCCGGAUUUAUUGGGCGUAAAGCGCGUCUAGGUGGUUAUGUAAGUCUGAUGUGAAAAUGCAGGGCUCAACUUUGUAUUGCGUUGGAAACUGUAUAACUAGAGUACUGGAGAGGUAAGCGGAACUACAAGUGUAGAGGUGAAAUUCGUAGAUAUUUGUAGGAAUGCCGAUGGGGAAGCCAGCUUACUGGACAGAUACUGACGCUAAAGCGCGAAAGCGUGGGUAGCAAGCAGG
rnacentral:rRNA from 1 species